UAAUGGUGACUUGGGUGUCUUAGCCUCUGAAAAAAACCCCAAACCAUCACACAGAUAUUUCUUCUCUGAUAUGUGCUGCAGGAAAACAGGAAGGUGAGGAGACUCUCUGGGACUUACUUUUCAGCCAAAACUAACCUCACGGCCCUUUUCAAAUAGUUGCAAAUAAAGACUCAAAGUCACACAAACUCUCUACCUCACUGCAAGCACACACUGACCUGCUUCCCCAUGCAGUCUCUCCUCUGGGAGAGACAGUUCUAUAUGAGUGGUCUUGCCCACCUCAAGGCCAGGAGGAGGGCAGUGCUGGUGGAUGGAGUUAUAGUCCCAAAGGGUGAAAAUGGGAAAGACAGUGUUCAGGUGAUAUCCAUGCACAUUUGUGCAAGAAAAACACCAACUCGAAGUUGAAGCCUGGCUCCUUAAGGACAGAACAUCCCUGCACAGGGCCCUACUGAAAACAACAGCACUUCUGUGAAGUUUUUAUUGGCCCUCCUGUUGAGAGCUGCAGCCUGAGCCAUUCCUGACGGGAAUGUGUCCUGGCCCUCCUCUGACUCAGAGGCCUUGCUGAUGCAAUCAAGUACAUUGAGAGGAAUUUUGAGGAUUAAGCAGAGACUGCUAAGGUGAGAACUGUUUAAAGAAAGCACAGCAGUUGACAAGCCUUUUCCCAUUCUGA
ensembl:lncRNA novel transcript, antisense to PAPPA2